UCUUGCGGUACAGGAUUUACUUAAUGCUGCUUUGUAUGGAGACGAGGAGAAAGGUGUUUAAAAGGAGAUGCUAAUGUAAACUAUCGAAAAUGGAUUGGCCAAACUGCACUUCACAUUAUUGCUAAAAAAUUGGACGAAAAAGCCGACAUUGCCAAGUUACUAAUUGUCAGUGGUACUGAUCUUAAUUUACAAGACAAGGGUGGUUCAACCGCACUUCACGUAGCCACAAUGAGAGGGCAUGCAGGUUUUGUCCGUUUGCUAAUUGACAAUAAUGUUGAUGUCAAUAUACAGACCAAGGAUGGUUGAACUGCACUUCACGAAGCCGCAAAGGGAGGGCAUACAGAAAUUGUCCGUUUGCUAAUUGACAAUAGUAUUGACGUCAAUAUACAGU